rfam:Pteropus alecto contig109687, whole genome shotgun sequence.
AUCGCUUCUCGGCCUUUUGGCUAAGAUCAAAUGUAGUAUCUGUUCUUAUCAAUUUAAAAAAUCUCUCUCUCUCAAACUGGCCCAUUGAAAUUUUAGAUGCAAUAAAGGAAGAUUUCUCUAACUGAGGCCAUUCUGAGCAUCAAAUGUGGACACAAGCAAUUGUCCUGAAAGACUGGGCCUUCUGCAAUCCGGUUAUUUGCUUUAACAGCAUAUUUGCAAAGCCCA